rnacentral:rRNA from 1 species
ACGAUACGAGUUUGAUCAUGGCUCAGAGUGAACGCUGGCGGCGUGCCUAACACAUGCAAGUCGAACGGGGUAGUAAUACCUAGUGGCGCACGGGUGAGUAACACGUAGCUAAUCUGCCCUAUAGUGGGGGACAACAGUUGGAAACGACUGCUAAUACCCUAUACUCCGAUACUGCCUAAGUAGUAUCGGGAAAGUUUUUUCGCUAUAGGAUGAGGCUGCGGUCUAUCAGCUUGUUGGUGAGGUAACGGCUCACCAAGGCUAUGACGGAUAGCUGGUCUGAGAGGAUGAUCAGCCACACUGGAACUGAGACACGGUCCAGACUCCUACGGGAGGCAGCAGUGGGGAAUUUUACACAAUGGGCGAAAGCCUGAUGUAGCAACGCCGCGUGGAGGAUGAAGGAUUUAGGUUCGUAAACUCCUUUUAUAGGGGAAGAAAUUUGACGGUACCCUAUGAAUAAGCACCGGCUAACUCCGUG